GCCGCAGCGAUCAUGGCAACUUCUUGCAAUUACGGUCGUACCAACCGUACUGGCAAGGUUACAGGGCCUAAACGUAUACAGGUUUCGUCAUGAGGGCUGCCCAGUGAAUAAUCUGUGCAGUGUGAUACGGCUGGGUGUACAGGUUACUUCACAGCUGCCUCGACAUACUCAAGAAAUGGGUGCAGAACCUGCGUAAUGCCCGCAAACUUUGACUACCACAGCAUCUCCAGAAAGUAAAGGGAUAUGUGUCACAUGGGAUUUUUAAAGGCAUUCACAGUAUAUAAUACCUUGUAUGAACUGUUGUAGAUCUAAGCAGCUUCUACAGUACA